GGUAUCCAUAGAUACAAGGCCAAGGAGAAGGAUCUGAUUGGCCAGCUCUGGGUUGCAUGCCCGCUACUGUGAGGGCAGAAGGGUUUCAUGAUUGGCUGUUGCCUUGGAGUCAUUUAGAUGGGGUAAGGAAAUUCCUCAAAGGAAAGAGUAUGUGAAUGCUAUCACAGAAUAGGUAUUUUUGAGAUUGGAGAGUCCCAGCAACAGUUUCACAUCUUAAGAAGUCUACUUCUUUCUUACGGGAUUAUCCAAGUUCUGAGAACAGGGUGAGACUCUGUUUCUCAUCAGAAGCUGCUCAGAGAUGGAUAGAAGACCAGAAAUAUAACAGAAGAAUUCUGUCAUGUGUUUUAUCUAUAAAGAUGCAAGCAACUUCAUAUACUUUUAAAUGAUUAAACCAAUGUGUUUAUUUUCAUUUUAAAUUUUCUUUAUUAUCUAUGUGUUUAUUAUCCACUGAGUCAAUG